UCGGGAGGUCCUUUGGUAAGGGAAGGCAGACAGAUCGGCAUUGUCUCUUGGGGCAUCCCGUGCGCUAAGGGCAAGCCUGAUGUCUAUACAAAGGUGGAAGCCUACAUGAGGUGGAUCGAGAAGACUCUAUACGAUGACGACGAAGACCAUCUAAAAUACCUUAACAAUAAGAGAAAAACAAAUCGACAUUAGUUAAGAAUGCAGUCAGCUACUAAAAUGUCUGUUAUUUAACGAACUAAUUUUUAAUUAAUAAAUGAAUACUGUAAAUAUUUAAAA